AGGGAUAUAGCUCAGUGGUAGAGAGUGUGCUUAACGUGCACAAGGUUCUGGGUUCAAUCCCUGGUACCUCCA
rnacentral:tRNA from 1 species